CCUACGGGAGGCAGCAGUGGGGCAUAUUGCACAAUGGGGGAAACCCUGAUGCAGCGACGCCGCGUGAGUGAAGACGUAAUUCGUUAUGUAAAGCUCUAUCAGCAGGGAAGAAAAUGACGGUACCUGAGUAAGAAGCCCCGGCUAACUACGUGCCAGCAGCCGCGGUAAUACGUAGGGGGCAAGCGUUAUCCGGAUUUACUGGGUGUAAAGGGAGCGUAGACGGCAGUGCAAGUCUGGAGUGAAAGGCGGGGGCUCAACCCCCGGACUGCUCUGGAAACUGUACGGCGGGAGUGCAGGAGAGGUAAGUGGAAUUCCUAGUGUAGCGGUGAAAGGCGUAGAUAUUAGGAGGCACACCAGUGGCGAAGGCGGAUUACUGGACUGUAACUGACGUUGAGGCUCGAAAGCGUGGGGAGCAAACAGGAGCAGAUACCCGGGUAGUC
rnacentral:rRNA from 1 species